rnacentral:rRNA from 1 species
GUGGGGAAUCUUGCGCAAUGGGGGAAACCCUGACGCAGCAACGCCGCGUGGGUGAUGAAGGCCUUCGGGUCGUAAAGCCCUGUCGGGUGGGAAGAAACGUGCGGAUGCUAAUACCAUCCGUAUUUGACGGUACCACCGAAGGAAGCACCGGCUAACUCCGUGCCAGCAGCCGCGGUAAUACGGAGGGUGCAAGCGUUGUUCGGAAUUAUUGGGCGUAAAGCGCGUGUAGGCGGUUGAGUAAGUCAGAUGUGAAAGCCUUCCGCUUAACGGGAGAAGUGCAUUUGAAACUACUCGGCUUGAGUACGGGAGAGGAGAGUGGAAUUCCCGGUGUAGAGGUGAAAUUCGUAGAUAUCGGGAGGAACACCAGUGGCGAAGGCGGCUCUCUGGUCCGAUACUGACGCUGAGACGCGAAAGCGUGGGGAGCAAACAGGAUUAGAAACCCCGGUAGUCC